rnacentral:sRNA from 1 species
UGACGAUCACGAACAUGAAGAACGAGGUGGCCGAGGCCAGUGGAGGAGCUGCCAGGGCCAUGCAGAUGAUGCCCAGCACCUGAACCCACAAAUUCCCGUUUGGCUAGCACACUGCAUUUCGCCAUCUCUUUCUGAUUCGCCCACUGGAUCGGCGCCCCUCUCUGUCUUCCCAACGCCCACUGUGCGGCGCAACUGGUUUAACGUUCUGAUUGGAAUUUCAAAACAGUGGAGCGUGUUGUGGAUGUUGGGGCAACAGUGGGUGGCAUGUGCGGCGCACAGUGGUCACAGACGGCGCAAUUCGUGGAUCAAAUGUGUGAGUGACUUAAAAGAAAUGAAACAAUAAGCGGUGUGUUUAUUUUUUUGGUUAGCUUUUAUUUGCGUGCAAUACAAACUAUGACAAAAUUUGCCUAAUAAAUAGAGCCUAAUUUUUGGGCCGCUCGAUGAGCCUAAAGACUA